rnacentral:rRNA from 1 species
UACGGGGGGGGCAAGCGUUGUUCGGAAUUACUGGGCGUAAAGGGCUCGUAGGCGGCCAACUAAGUCGGACGUGAAAUCCCUCGGCUUAACCGGGGAACUGCGUCCGAUACUGGAUGGCUUGAGUUCGGGAGAGGGAUGCGGAAUUCCAGGUGUAGCGGUGAAAUGCGUAGAUAUCUGGAGGAACACCGGUGGCGAAGGCGGGUCUCUGGGCCGACAUUGACGCUGAGGAGCGAAAGCCAGGGGAGCAAACGGG